GAUGAACGCUGGCGGCGUGCCUAGUACAUGCAAGUCGAGCGAACAGAUAAGGAGCUUGCUCCUUUGACGUUAGCGGCGGACGGGUGAGUAACACGUGGAUAACCUACCUAUAAGACUGGGAUAACUUCGGGAAACCGGAGCUAAUACCGGAUAACAUAUUGAACCGCAUGGUUCAAUAGUGAAAGGCGGCUUUGCUGUCACUUAUAGAUGGAUCCGCGCCGUAUUAGCUAGUUGGUAAGGUAACGGCUUACCAAGGCAACGAUACGUAGCCGACCUGAGAGGGUGAUCGGCCACACUGGAACUGAGACACGGUCCAGACUCCUACGGGAGGCAGCAGUAGGGAAUCUGCCGCAAUGGGCGAAAGCCUGACGGAGCAACGCCGCGUGAGUGAUGAAGGUCUUCGGAUCGUAAAACUCUGUUAUCAGGGAAGAACAAAUGUGUAAGUAACUGUGCACAUCUUGACGGUACCUGAUCAGAAAGCCACGGCUAACUACGUG
rnacentral:rRNA from 1 species